UUAACCCAAAGACAUUAUACAAAACACAUUUCUUUGGCUCAAACAAAUUUACAUGGUUGAUGUUACUUCCGAAGCUAUCUAAUUUGUAAGGGAGGGAAAGAAGAGGAGGAACAUGACUACUUCACCGGCUCAUUCAUCAAUAUCAACGACGGCGGUGGUCGGAGGUGGCAGCACCAGCAAUGCCGCGCUCGAAGAUUUCCAUUUCCCCUCCGAUCUCAUCUCCAUCCAAGAUCGCAAAGACGAGGCCCUCCUAGGGACUACUGUCUUGAUAAUCAUUAAGGCAUUGACGAUUUGAUCGUAUGUCCAUUUUGCCUUUUCUAAUGCAUGUUGAGAGAGAAAUAGCCAAACCUCCAGAGGCAUGUACUUCGUCACGAUGAGGUUCACAAUCUUAAGACCAAUCUAUGUUGCUUUGUGAAUCCUUUUGUGGUCCUAGCGCAACUUCGCUUCCAGUUCUUAAAUCUGAUUUGAGGACUGCACUAAACAGAGAGGUUAAAUCUUUGGACAAAGAUAACUGGAUGUUUGAAGGCCCCCGUUCCCGUAUCCAUCUUAUUUCCAGACCAGGUAUUUUUCUCCACAGGAAGAUGGAAAUGGCCAAGAAUCAGAAUUCGGCACAACCAAAAUGAUUGAUAAUCCUUUGGAGUUUGAACAGGUGCACCUUGCUUCUGUUGACCAUUCACAGGUGCUGUUUUUAUCAUUCAUGGAUUGGUCUAAAUUUUUCCAAACUUAUGUUGAGUGGUAUAUAUCAUCAUGCAGUACUGAAGGUUUCAACCUUAUUGCCCCUUAAAAUUCCUUUCUAUUCUUUAAGUUCAAAGGUAUGUUAGUGACAAAAGAAAAACAAAUAAGAUUGAAAUGUAUCAUGUGCUUUUAUCCAGUAAAUUGGCUGUGCCUCAA